rnacentral:rRNA from 1 species
ACGAACGCUGGCGGCGUGCUUAACACAUGCAAGUCGAACGGAAAGGCUCUGCUUUUGUGGGGUGCUCGCGUGGCGAACGGGUGAGUAACACGUGAGUAACCUGCCCUUGACUUUGGGAUAACUUCAGGAAACUGGGGCUAAUACCGGAUAGGAGCUCCUGCUGCAUGGUGGGGGUUGGAAAGUUUCGGCGGUUGAGGAUGGACUCGCGGCUUAUCAGCUUGUUGGUGGGGUAGUGGCUUACCAAGGCUUUGACGGGUAGCCGGCCUGAGAGGGUGACCGGCCACAUUGGGACUGAGAUACGGCCCAGACUCCUACGGGAGGCAGCAGUGGGGAAUAUUGCACAAUGGGCGGAAGCCUGAUGCAGCAACGCCGCGUGCGGGAUGACGGCCUUCGGGUUGUAAACCGCUUUCGCCUGUGACGAUGCGUGAGUGACGGUAAUGGGUAAAGAAGCACCGGCUAACUACGUG